rnacentral:rRNA from 1 species
GGAGGAGCUUGCUUCUCUGGAUGAGUUGCGAACGGGUGAGUAACGCGUAGGUAACCUGCCUGGUAGCGGGGGAUGACUAUUGGAAACGAUAGCUAAUACCGCAUAAGAGUAGAUGUUGCAUGACAUUUGCUUAAAAGGUGCAAAUGCAUCACUACCAGAUGGACCUGCGUUGUAUUAGCUAGUUGGUGAGGUAACGGCUCACCAAGGCAACGAUACAUAGCCGACCUGAGAGGGUGAUCGGCCACACUGGGACUGAGACACGGCCCAGACUCCUACGGGAGGCAGCAGUAGGGAAUCUUCGGCAAUGGACGGAGGUCUGACCGAGCAACGCCGCGUGAGUGAAGAAGGUUUUCGGAUCGUAAAGCUCUGUUGUAAGAGAAGAACGAGUGUGAGAGUGGAAAGUUCACACUGUGACGGUAUCUUACCAGAAAGGGACGGCUAACUACGUGCCAGCAGCCGCGGUAAUACGUAGGUCCCGAGCGUUGUCCGGAUUUAUUGGGCGUAAAGCGAGCGCAGGCGGUUAGAUAAGUCUGAAGUUAAAGGCUGUGGCUUAACCAUAGUACGCUUUGGAAACUGUUUAACUUGAGUGCAAGAGGGGAGAGUGGAAUUCCAUGUGUAGCGGUGAAAUGCGUAGAUAUAUGGAGGAACACCGGUGGCGAAAGCGGCUCUCUGGCUUGUAACUGACGCUGAGGCUCGAAAGUGUGGGGAGCAAACAGGAUUAGAUACCCUGGUAGUCCACGCCGUAAACGAUGAGUGCUAGGUGUUAGACCCUUUCCCGGGGUUUAGUGCCGCAGCUAACGCAUUAAGCACUC